GUUUAAAUACACUCUGGCAGCUCAGAGGUGACCUUCCUCCAAACACCACAGCCUGAAUCCCACAGUUGAGCCCCCAGAAUCAACUGUGCAAUUUCAGCAAUUAAAACUGGAAAAAGCAAAGAAGGAAGGAAGUGUAAGACUCGACCCGAGUCCUAAUUACCAAGAGACUCCCGUGAAUGAGAUGUGAGACCAGAGGUUGAUGCAAUGGCAUGGGGACUAUUAUUAUUCCAGCAAGCUGGGGUCUGCCUACCUCUCGAGGAGAGGCGACCCUGAACAAUCUAGAGAAGGUGAUCUGAACUGAGAGGGGAAGAAAACAAAUAAGGGACAAGUCCUAUGUCAAGUCCUAGCUUAAAGUGAAGCCCUUGAACUUGCACAGUGCAGUGCAGAACUCUCUGUGGUAUGUAUGGUCAGUCUAUUGUGUGUUUUGGGAUAUGUCUCUAGGGUCCAUGAGCUUGGCCUUGUCCAAGGACUGGAUGAGAGCUGUUGCUCUAACUCAAAGUAAAAGAAAAAAAAAUGUGACUAAGUGUUUCAGUCUAGGUGGGGCUUAGUCAGAUAGAGGAAGAGGCCAAAUAAGCUUUAGAGCACUAGGCAAAGGACAAAUAGACAAUCCUGUGUCAGGUGGCAGAAACCAAGAAUCUCUAUACUAAGUACUAAAAGGAUGCUUGGCUUAGCAUGGGACCCUGGGAUAGUUAUGACUAGAAGAAGCUUCCUGCCAGAAAGGAUCAGGAAUUACUGCAGGAGGACGUUUUGCUCGCUGCCUACAAAAUCACAAGAAACACAUGAUGGGGGCAGGGCAGGGUAGAGAUGGCACCAGAAAAGUGGCACUGGUUCCUGACGCCCUGGCUAAGAGAAUGCCAGCCUCUGCCCCAAAGUGAUGCCAGGGACUGCCUGCAUGACAGGCUCUGAGUGCCAGGAGACAGCA
rnacentral:sRNA from 1 species